AAACCAUGAUGAGGGCAGUCUCUCUCAUAUUCCUUGAAUCGUUCCCCUCAUAGAAUGAUUCUAUUGGGUAUUGUUGGAAACUUUGGAUAUAUUUUUUCAGCU
rfam:Eutrema salsugineum unplaced genomic scaffold scaffold_16, whole genome shotgun sequence.